CCUACGGGAGGCAGCAGUAGGGAAUCUUCCGCAAUGGGCGAAAGCCUGACGGAGCAACGCCGCGUGAGUGAUGAAGGUCUUCGGAUCGUAAAACUCUGUUAUUAGGGAAGAACAAAUGUGUAAGUAACUAUGCACGUCUUGACGGUACCUAAUCAGAAAGCCACGGCUAACUACGUGCC
rnacentral:rRNA from 1 species